UACGGGGGGGGCAAGCGUUGUUCGGAAUUACUGGGCGUAAAGGGCUCGUAGGUGGCCAACUAAGUCGGACGUGAAAUCCCUCGGCUUAACCGGGGAACUGCGUCUGAUACUGGAUGGCUUGAGGUUGGGAGAGGGAUGCGGAAUUCCAGGUGUAGCGGUGAAAUGCGUAGAUAUCUGGAGGAACACCGGUGGCGAAGGCGGCAUCCUGGACCAAUUCUGACGCUGAGGAGCGAAAGCCAGGGGAGCAAACGGG
rnacentral:rRNA from 1 species